CGAACAUUUAGAAAUUUUUCCGAACCUCCGAGACCCCUCUAAAAAAAUUUCCAAACUUUCCUAGAGGAAAUUCUCCAAAUUUCCCAGAAAUUUCCCCACAGCCUCAAACUCCUAGCUCUCCCUACCUCUCACCGAAAUCCCAAAAUUCUAGUCCUUCGUCGUUCGAAUCCUUCCGGUGAUGAAUUCCCGAUGAAUAGGACUGUCCUCACUGGUAGUUCUACUAGUUGUGUGGUGGUUGGCCACCACGGGAUCCGAAUCAGACCUUGGCCGCAUCCGAAUCCGACUGAGGUCAUGAAGGCGCACCAGAUUAUUGACACGGUUCAGAGGGAGCAGAGGCGUCAAUUUGGAGUCAAGAACCCUAGAACCGUCAUUGUGGUUACUCCCUUCACAUGACCGGUCUGAUGCAUUCGCUGAUGCUGGUGCCGUACGAAGUCGUUUGGAUCGUGGUGGAGGCUGGUGGAGCUAGCAAUGAGACCGAUUCGAUCCUUGCCAAGUCGGGACUCCGGACCAUUCACGUUGGAUUCGAGUAGCGGAUGCCGAAUUCUUGGGAGGGUCAUCAUCGAUUGGAGGCUCGGAUGAGGCUUCGUGCAUUGAGGAAAAUGGGUAUUCUCGAGACAUUCUGACUACAGUGCACAGAAGUAGAGCUGACUGUCCACAACCUGAGGUUUAAAGUUGUUGAAUCCUUGUGCAAUCUUAUUUUCGCCACAUGUUGACUUUGGAUUAAAAGUACUUGGUGCAAAUGCUAUGUCCAUUCUUGGCCUAUAUGGGUUUGUCCAGUGUUUAGAUGAUGUUUAGUCAUAUAUCCUCGUUGAAAGAUCUUUGGAGAAGUACAAUGUUGUUCUUGACUCUAUAGUUCAAGACUUUCCUCACGUGUAUCUCUAGGAAAUGGCUCUCAGAGAGAUGUCGAUAUACGGAAGGAGGCACUAAACCUCAUUUAUGAUGGUUUAGAAGGAAAACUAUUGUAUGUUCUCCAAGAGCUUCUAUCUUCUAGUCACCCUGACCAAAUGUGAUAUUGAACCCAAGGCACCCGAACUACUGUUGAAGCUGCAUGCCGCCGCUAAUCUGCCGUCGGUCUCCUCUGCUCUGGUUUCAGAGAAAAUGGGAUCAAUGGCAGAUGAAUUAGAUCCAUGUUGAACAAUCAUUGGUGAACACAGGAAAGGAAAGGGCAAAAGUCAGCCUUCUUUUACAUGGGCGGAAGACAAUGUUGCCAACCAGAGGGAACAUCUAAUUCUUCUCCUUGCCAAUAUUCACAUUCAGAAAGCUAAUAAGUAGUCUGUCUUGAAGGUAUUCUGAUAGUUAAUUAAGGUUGUAAAGCUUUGCCUUGUGGUGUUUAUUCCAUAUUGGCUGCUUCCUAGUUAUUUUUAGUUUUCUGGUUUUUCCUUGUGGUGUUUAUUCCAUAUGCCUUGUGACGUGAUUGGUUUGAAUAGAUGCUUUGAAAUAUACACAAGUUAGCUAAUCUCUGCCUCUAUUUUGGGCAGUGAAUGCUUUUUCUUAUGAGACUAAAUUUUUUUUUGUUGUAUUUUAAGUUGUGGAUAACAAUUGGUUUUUAUUUUUUAAGAUAACAAUUGGUUUUUGUGCUGUGGAUCAUUAGAUCUGUUUUAUUAACAUAAGGAUGUAAUAUUUGCUUCUACAUUUACUAUCAUUCUAGUCAUAGAAAUUUAGUAUAGUUUAGUUACAAGUAAUUUAGUUGCUGCUGUUGACAAUUUGUGGUAUCUAAAAGAUGGAAUACAUACUGUAGUCUUGAAAAAACUUUCAGAAAAUGGAUCUUGCAGGCAAAGGACACCAAGUGAAUUAGAUAGAGAGGUUAAGAACUUGAGGGUUUACUGACCUGUUUUUGAAGCAUAACACUUUCAAAGAAACUGCAAAGCCAUCGAGAUAUUGAUGCAAAGAAUGGAAGAAUGUAUUUCACUAAUUUUUGUAUACAUUUCUUGUUUUGUAUUUAGUGAUAAAGGAAUCUGAAUUGGGCAUAAAUUAUGUUGUAAUAUGAUUUCUUAAGCCUAGACUAGUAGACUAAAUAUUGUAAUUAUAUUUGAGUAAUUAAUAAAAAUUUAUUUAUGUUACCUUA